UUACAUAAUCUCUAAGUCAAUGGACAGUGCUUAGCUGAGAUGAGAAGAAAGUCAGGAAAGACAUUAAAUGCGUUUGUAUUAUAGUAUAGAUUGAUAUUAAAUGUUUUGGUGUCCCCAAGAAUACAUCAACCAUUCCCUUUUUUUUUGAGCAACACAUCAACCAUUCCCAAAUAAAAUAGGGAAACUUGCUUAAACAGAACCAAAAAAUAGCAUGGUUAUCUUUUUUAAGGAUGGGUGUUCCGAUAUCCGUUUGGGUUCAGAUCGGGUAUUUCGUAUUUUUGGAUAUUUCGAUAUAGGGAUAAAAACCCGUUCGGGUAUUUCUAUACUUCGGGUCGGGUUUAGAUAUUUUUAAUUCAGGUUCGGUUAUUUUGAAUCGGGUUCGGAUAUUUAGCUUUUAAAAGAAAAAGAAAAUAAUUUUUUUCAUUUUUUAAGUUUCUUUUAUUUAAAAAUAUAGAUUUCACUUAACUGAUUUUUUAUUUUUAUAGAUCAAAUGAUUAAUAGUAACUUUCGUUUUGUUUCUUACUUCUUUCUCAUUUGCGGAUCGAAAGAAGCUCAAAGCUUCUGAGAGCAUCAUCACGUGCAGUCCUAGAAGCAGCCACUCUGUUGCGGUUAAAGGCAGAGGCUGUCUUCGACUCAUAUCCACUCACACCAGCUGCCGCUUGAGCUCUCUGGAAAACAGAUGGUCG